GCCUCUUGCCUUCGCCAGCAGACCACCCCAUGCCCCUCUCCCUUGCCACCAGAACUCUGGAGACACUCUGAAUAUGCACAAGGCCACCCUGGCAGUAUCACUUGAUGCCCGCGUGGAAAAGCAGCAAAAGGUACUUGUUUCGUGCACAGCUGGCUCUGAUGCCUGUCCCAAUAGAUCUCAUUUCUCCUUGCCUGUUCCCAGUAACAGCAAAUCAGCAUGUGGAGGUUAGCUACCAACCUGAGACCUACGAGGAGCACAGCAAGAAGGCAAGGAUGAGUAUCAAAUGAAGGCAAACACAUGGCUUCGCACAUGGAGAAUGGUUGCGGAGACAAGAUUUGUUUUGUGGGUACUGCUGAACACAACACAGAGCAGAUCAGAGUCUCCUUUGAAUGUAAGUCAGAAGGAA